UGGGGAAUAUUGGACAAUGGGCGCAAGCCUGAUCCAGCCAUGCCGCGUGUGUGAAGAAGGCCUUUUGGUUGUAAAGCACUUUAAGCGAGGAGGAGGCUACUUGGAUUAAUACUCUAGGAUAGUGGACGUUACUCGCAGAAUAAGCACCGGCUAACUCUGUGCCAGCAGCCGCGGUAAUACAGAGGGUGCGAGCGUUAAUCGGAUUUACUGGGCGUAAAGCGUGCGUAGGCGGCUUCUUAAGUCGGAUGUGAAAUCCCUGAGCUUAACUUAGGAAUUGCAUUCGAUACUGGGAAGCUAGAGUAUGGGAGAGGAUGGUAGAAUUCCAGGUGUAGCGGAGAAAUGCGUAGAGAUCUGGAGAAAUACCGAUGGCGAAGGCAGCCAUCUGGCCUAAUACUGACGCUGAGGUACGAAAGCAUGGGGAGCAAACAGG
rnacentral:rRNA from 1 species